rfam:Marinomonas spartinae strain CECT 8886 genome assembly, contig: 0002
UGUUAUGGGUAAGUUGUGCGGGGCGUCUUCGGACGCGCCAGCCCUGUGACUGGUACGCCAACCCGUAUGGCUUGCCCACCUUA